AGCGAACGCUGGCGGCAGGCUUAACACAUGCAAGUCGAGCGCUCGUAGCAAUACGAGAGCGGCAGACGGGAGAGUAACACGUGGGAACGUACCCUUCGGUUCGGAAUAACCCAGGGAAACUUGGGCUAAUACCGGAUACGUCCGUAAGGAGAAAGAUUUAUCGCCGAGGGAUCGGCCCGCGUCCGAUUAGCUAGUUGGUGAGGUAAUGGCUCACCAAGGCGACGAUCGGUAGCUGGUCUGAGAGGAUGAUCAGCCUCACUGGGACUGAGACACGGCCCAGACUCCUACGGGAGGCAGCAGUGGGGAAUAUUGGACAAUGGGCGCAAGCCUGAUCCAGCCAUGCCGCGUGGGUGAUGAAGGCCUUAGGGUUGUAAAGCCCUUUCGGCGGGGAAGAUAAUGACGGUACCCGCAGAAGAAGCCCCGGCUAACUUCGUGCCAGCAGCCGCAGUAAGAC
rnacentral:rRNA from 1 species